rfam:[Clostridium] litorale DSM 5388 strain W6 CLIT_24c, whole genome shotgun sequence.
UUGUUAAAAAUAAAUAUGCCGCAGACAGUAGGCGCGAAAGCUUAAAAUGCCUACCGAGGUCAAAUACUUCGAAAAUUCGAAGUUUUGAAUUUUGAAAUUCAAGCCCUUGUCUGUCUGUGAGCAUACAAGGGCUUUUAUAGUGUUUA